CAGAGCACUGCGUGUUUUGAAAUAUACAAAUAGUGGGAAACGAAAUCUUUGUUCUGGAUGCAGUUAUAAUUUGGAAAGCGAGGAAAUAAAUUAUAACAAGGGGAAAAAACAGAAUACUACUAAAGUCAUGCCGUGUGACUUCUGAAGCUAGCUCCUAAGAAGUCCUUGCAGCUUCUGCCUGCGACUCUUAGAACACUUGCUUUGAAGGAUGCCAGAUGCUGUCUUAAAAGUCUGAGCACUCUGAAACCAUCAUGCUGUGAGGAAGCCCAAGCUAACCACAUGGGCAAAAAAGAUGCCCUCUGACUGCCACCAUUUGAGACACUCUAAUUAAGAACUGCCUCAUUGAGCCCAUGAGGCCCUGUGAAUGAUAAUAAUAAAUUGUUUUUAACCACUAUGUUUUUGGAUUUGUUAUAAGUUUAUAGAUAACAAGAAAAAGUUAUAUUAGCAUGGUAAUAAAAUUAUGGAUAUGUGUAA
rnacentral:lncRNA from 1 species